rnacentral:rRNA from 1 species
GACGAACGCUGGCGGCGUGCCUAAUGCAUGCAGGUCGCACGCAGGGUGCUUGCACUCUGAGUGGCGCACGGCUGAGGAACACGUGGGGACAUGCCUCCUUGUGGGGGACAACAGCGCGAAAGAGGUGCUAAUCCCGCAUACGCUCGGCAACGAGGAAAGCGGCAACGCGCAGGGAGAGUGGCCCGCGGCCCAUCAGGUCGUUGGUGGGGUAACGGCCUACCAAGCCGAUGACGGGUAGCUGGUCUGUGAGGACAGACAGCCAGACUGGGACUGAGACACGGCCCAGACUCCUACGGGAGGCAGCAGCAAGGAAUUUUCGUCAAUGGGCGCAAGCCUGAACGAGCAACGCCGCGUGGAGGAUGACGGCCUUCGGGUUGUAAACUCCUUUUGGGGGGGACGAUGAUGACGGUACCCCCUGAAUAAGGCUCGGCUAACUCUGUGCCAGCCGCCGCUGUAAUAC